ensembl:lncRNA
CGCGCGCCCGCCUCACAGGGCAAGUUUGGGGUAAAUGAGAGAGAAAGAGGCAGAGCGGCGCUGUGCGAGUGUGUGUGUGAGAGAGGACAAGAACAAGGAGGGAUAUUAUUGUCGCGUAAGCUUUCUCGCUUCGUUGUUAGAGUCACCCAGUCACAGCAUCUCUGUGGACGCUACUUUUCGCCGAUGAUGUCAUGCUAGAGAGAGAAGAGCGUCAAGAUACAGUACGCAGCAAUUGAAGGCGCGGCUAGAAGAAAACGGGAUGCGAGCUCAAAUCAAAAGCCCAACUUUAUGGAGUGCAGACUGCACGAGGACAGAACCAUCAGAGUUGACGUCCUGGACCUGAAUAAGUUCAGUCAGUUCAAGUACCUGGACUCACUACGCUAUUCCCAAUGGCGAUACGCUUCCAGAUGCCCGGGAAUGAGUCACCGGUGCGUGGCUAAAAUGACGCUGAGUUACUGGAGUGCUCUGUGAUCCCAAGAUGCCCAUCCAUCUUAAGGCGAAAGUGUACAAGACUGUCAUCCGUCCAGUCGCUCUGUAUGGCGUAGACUGCUGGCCAGCUACCACGAAGCACAAACAAACAGGCCAUGCCAUGGAAAUGUGAAUGCUUUGCUGGACGCUCGGCCUCACCCGCCUCAACCACAUCAGCAAUGAAUGUAUCCGCAAGAUCUUGGGACUGGCACCGAUCACAGAAAAGGUGUGCGAAGGACGACCGCGAUGGUACGGCCAUGUCUUUCGAAGCAGCGAGCAUAUGGUGGCUACGUCCGCAAGGACAACGGCCUUGUGGUGGGCCAAACAAGCAUUGGCUUGACGGACUGAAGGAAGAAGGAAGCCGAGGCUCGAUCGAGGGAAUCUUCAGGACUGUUUGCCUGCCGCAUGUUGGAGAAUGGCAUGCGCUAAACCUGCGGACCCUGCAUCAACGUGGGACAAAUGCUAGGAAGAAGAUUUACCAAAUUUUCCCAAACUUGGUAUAUGACGACUACAACCAGAGAGGGUGAAGGGUGCCAGAAAGGGUGCCUACCGCUGAGACACGUGAAGCCAGCGCUAUCUGCUCUCUUCCGCAUACAUGAGCUCAGAGAUACCUGUGGUUGGAUAGCAUCAUUGUGAUUGACGAGGGAUCGAGAUCGUGCCAUCCCUCCCACCCGGAGUGCUUGGCCAAUUCUGCUCUCUUGGCUCCCGAAUCUCUUGGCUCGCGAUCUCUCAACUAUAGGACGAGCUGUUUUAUAUUAUACUAUUUAGAAACGCAUUGAUCCCC